AAUGAACGCUGGCGGCGCGCUUAACACAUGCAAGUCGAGCGAGGCCACGGGGCAACUCGUGAGUCGAGCGGCGAACGGGUGAGUAACACGUGGGUAAUCUACCUGGGUGUGGGGGAUAGCCUCGCGAAAGUGAGGGUAAUACCGCAUACGGCUGGCGGGGCACAAGCUCUGCCAUCUAAAGGCUGGGACCUUCGGGCCAGCCGCUCCCAGAUGAGCUCGCGUCCGAUUAGCUAGUUGGUGAGGUAACGGCCCACCAAGGCGACGAUCGGUAGCCGGCCUGAGAGGGUGAUCGGCCACAUUGGGACUGAGACACGGCCCAGACACCUACGGGUGGCAG
rnacentral:rRNA from 1 species